AUUUAAAUAGCUUAUAAGAGAGCAUAAUAUUGAAGAUAUUAAGGAGAUAAAUUUAUCUUUAAAUA
rnacentral:tRNA from 1 species